CAGAUUGAACGCUGGCGGCAUGCCUUACACAUGCAAGUCGAACGGUAACGCGGGGCAACCUGGCGACGAGUGGCGAACGGGUGAGUAAUGCAUCGGAACGUGCCCAGUAGUGGGGGAUAGCCCGGCGAAAGCCGGAUUAAUACCGCAUACGACCUGAGGGUGAAAGGGGGGGGAUCGCAAGACCUCUCGCUAUUGGAGCGGCCGAUGUCAGAUUAGGUAGUUGGUGGGGUAAAGGCCUACCAAGCCGACGAUCUGUAGCUGGUCUGAGAGGACGACCAGCCACACUGGGACUGAGACACGGCCCAGACUCCUACGGGAGGCAGCAGUGGGGAAUUUUGGACAAUGGGCGCAAGCCUGAUCCAGCCAUGCCGCGUGCGGGAAGAAGGCCUUCGGGUUGUAAACCGCUUUUGUCAGGGAAGAAAUCUUCUGGGCUAAUACCUCGGGAGGAUGACGGUACCUGAAGAAUAAGCACCGGCUAACUACGUGCCAGCAGCCGCGGUAA
rnacentral:rRNA from 1 species